UAUGUAGGGAGCAAGCGUUGUCCGGAAUCAUUGGGCGUAAAGCGCGCGUAGGUGGCCUCAUAAGUCCGCUGUGAAAGUCAAAGGCUCAACCUUUGAAAGCCGGUGGAUACUGUGGGGCUAGAGUACGGAAGAGGCGAGUGGAAUUCCUGGUGUAGCGGUGGAAUGCGCAGAUAUCAGGAGGAACACCAAUAGCGAAGGCAGCUCGCUGGGACGUUACUGACACUGAGGCGCGAAAGCGUGGGGAGCGAACAGG
rnacentral:rRNA from 1 species